rnacentral:rRNA from 1 species
UUCGCCGGGGAGAAAAAUAUAAUGGGGGCCGCGCGAGUUUUAAUUUUUUGGGUUUAAAUGAGACCCGCAGUAAUGUUUUAUUAGGGGAAAGUUGGGGGGGCUCCAGUAUCCAACUGUCAGAGGGGAAAAUGCUAGGAUCCAGCUGAAGACCAACCUCCGCGAAAAGCUUUUGCCCAGGAUUUUUUCAUUACAUCAGGACCGAAAGUUAGGGGAUCGAAGGGCGUUCGGAUCGGUCGUAGUCUUACCAUAAAUUAUGCCGACUAGGGAUCGGACGGGGUUAUUCAUGCUCGGUUCGGCUCCUUCGAGAAAUCAAAGUGCUUGGCUCCAGGGGGAGUCAGUCGCAAGGCCUGAAACUUAGAGAAAUUGACGGAAGGGCACCGCCAGGGGUGGAGCCUGCGGCUUAAUUUGACUCAACACGGGGAAACUCGCCAGGUCCAGACACAAUAAGGAUUGACAGAUUGAGAGCUCUUUCUUGAUCUUGUGGGUGGUGGUGCAUGGCCGUUCUAAGUUGGUGGGGUGACUUGUCUGCUUAAUUGCGAUAACGAACGAGACCUUAACCUGCUAAAUAGCCCGCAUUGCUCCGGCAGUGCGCUGGCUUCUUAGAGGGACUUUCGGCUCAAGCCGAAGGAAGUUUGAGGCAAUAACAGGUCUGAGAUGCCCUUAGAUGUUCUGGGCCGCACGCGCGCUACACUGACGGGGUCAGCGAGUUCCUUGGCCGAAAGGCCCGGGUAAUAAAUGUUAGCCCCCGUCGUGCUGGGGAUAGAGCAUUGCAAUUAUUGCUCUUCAACAGAAGAAAAUCCCUCGCCCACCCUCUCUAUGUGUCCCCUGUGCGUUGAUUCAACCCUGCUGUGCGUCAUCGCGGCGUCAGGCGACUCGUUAAGCCUGCAGGACUGACC